rnacentral:rRNA from 1 species
ACGUAGGGUGCAAGCGUUAAUCGGAAUUACUGGGCGUAAAGCGUGCGCAGGCGGUUAUAUAAGUAACAUGUGAAAAAAGAGGGGGGAACCUGGGAACUGCGUUUGUGACUGUAUAGCUAGAGUACGGCAGAGGGGGAUGGAAUUCCGCGUGUAGCAGUGAAAUGCGUAGAUAUGCGGAGGAACACCGAUGGCGAAGGCAAUCCCCUGGGCCUGUACUGACGCUCAUGCACGAAAGCGUGGGGAGCAAACAG